GCCUUCGUGGUGUAGUGGUCAGCCCACUCGACGUGUAACCGAGAGGUCCGUGGUUCGAUUCCCGGCGAAGACG
rnacentral:tRNA from 1 species